rnacentral:ncRNA from 2 species
UGAGUGUUAUGAUGUUGGAAGGACUAAACGGUUCUUCUUAGUCUAGCUCUGGUCUGCCGCUAGGAUUUAUCC